CCUUAGAGUUUGAUCCUGGCUCAGGAUGAACGCUAGCUACAGGCUUAACACAUGCAAGUCGAGGGGCAGCGGGAUUGAAGCUUGCUUCAAUUGCCGGCGACCGGCGCACGGGUGAGUAACGCGUAUCCAACCUUCCGUACACUCAGGGAUAGCCUUUCGAAAGAAAGAUUAAUACCUGAUGGUAUGAUGAGAUUGCAUGAUAGCAUCAUUAAAGAUUUAUCGGUGUACGAUGGGGAUGCGUUCCAUUAGGUAGUAGGCGGGGUAACGGCCCACCUAGCCAACGAUGGAUAGGGGUUCUGAGAGGAAGGUCCCCCACAUUGGAACUGAGACACGGUCCAAACUCCUACGGGAGGCAGCAGUGAGGAAUAUUGGUCAAUGGACGAGAGUCUGAACCAGCCAAGUAGCGUGAAGGAUGAAGGUCCUACGGAUUGUAAACUUCUUUUAUAAGGGAAUAAACCCUCCCACGUGUGGGAGCUUGUAUGUACCUUAUGAAUAAGCAUCGGCUAACUCCGUGCCAGCAGCCGCGGUAAUACGGAGGAUGCGAGCGUUAUCCGGAUUUAUUGGGUUUAAAGGGAGCGCAGACGGGUCGUUAAGUCAGCUGUGAAAGUUUGGGGCUCAACCUUAAAAUUGCAGUUGAUACUGGCGUCCUUGAGUGCGGUUGAGGUGUGCGGAAUUCGUGGUGUAGCGGUGAAAUGCUUAGAUAUCACGAAGAACUCCGAUUGCGAAGGCAGCACACUAAUCCGUAACUGACGUUCAUGCUCGAAAGUGUGGGUAUCAAACAGGAUUAGAUACCCUGGUAGUCCACACGGUAAACGAUGGAUACUCGCUGUUGGCGAUAUACUGUCAGCGGCUUAGCGAAAGCGUUAAGUAUCCCACCUGGGGAGUACGCCGGCA
rnacentral:rRNA from 1 species